rnacentral:lncRNA from 1 species
GAUCACGAAGCCUUUUUCCCUUCAAUGCCAACUGAGCUUCGGUUCUGGAGUGGCGGCUUGCUUUACGUUUCACGCUGAAUGGCCUUCUUCUGUCAACCUGUACCUUCUCUUUUUCCCUCAUUUUCUUCUAUUUAACGUUGUAAAUCUUGUCUCUCUCUGAUAUCUUACCUUGUUUCAUUUAUUGUUUCUUUUCCCCAUCUCGGUAUUAACAGUUUUCAGUAGAUCUGAAGUGAUUCUUUUCUUCUUAUGGUAUUUAUUAUUUUUUUCUUUUCAUGGACUGCCAAUCAAGAUUGCACCUUUUCCCCCAUAUAUUAAAGAAUUUUUAAAUGUUCUGAGUAAUAAUGGAAAUCUAUAUCCAUCUGGUAAUGGAUUUGGAAAAUGCAUGGCUUGAUGGUUCAAUUUGCUGUUAAAAAUCACUGGGUUUUCCCCCUCCUUGUUAAAAUUCGCUUUUAUGUUAAGUUUGUGUCAUUCUGUAUUGGGUUCCCCCCCUCUUCAUGGCUAUGGGAGUUGAUUUGUUGAUAUCUUUGGGAGAUAUGAAGUUUCAUAUACAAUGCAGGGUUAAUUAGCUAGCAUUGGUAUAAAAUUAACAAAAAUCAUUUGAUAAAAGAUGGUUUUUAGGGUAAAAGUAUUAUGGAGGCCUCUGAACUAGGAACUAAAAAAUGGGCAAAUUAGUCUCUAUACAUUAGAUCAAAGAGCAAACUCGUCCUUCUGUUACAAAUUUCACAAGGCACUGGUUAUUCUGUCAACAAGCCAGUUUUUAAGAGAAAGGAUUAAUUUCUUCUUUAAUCAAACGUAUAGGGAUUAAUUUGCACAUUUUUUUACUAAAAGGGGGCAAAAUGUGAUCGGACUCUACAAGGGCUUCCAUGAUAUUUUUACCAGUUUUUAGCGCAAUCUUUGAAUAUAUGAGCAGUCAUUUUCUAUUAGAGAUUUGUUUACAGUAUUCAUCUUUCGCUUGUUUUUUCCUCUUUGAGAUUAUGAAUUAGCUUAUUUCUUCCUUUAAGACAAAUAGCUAAUGUUUGCUAUUUUUUUACCACAGGUUGUAUAGGCAUUGAUCAAGGUCUGUUCUUAUCAUUUAAGAAAAAAUGGAAUUUGAAUCGAAGAAGAAAUGGAAAUCAGUGUUGCCACGUCUUUUCAAAAACAAAUCAGCUUCUCGUUGUUUUUUCCCGAAGGUGAAGCCAGCUACUUUCAGUCCGAGUUGUACUCCAGUAUAUCUCAAUGUAUAUGACCUAACACCCAUGAAUGGCUAUAUUUACUGGGCGGGCCUUGGUAUCUUUCAUUCCGGUGUCGAAGGUUGGUUUAUAUCAUUUUUUACUCUGUGAUUUUGCUCCUUUGCUCGGUUGGUGUCUUUCAUUAUAGCAUUUUACAAUAGCAGUUGUCGAGUUGGAAUGCGGAGCAAUGAAGUUAAACUAAAUAUGCAAGAUAUGGACUUGAGAAUUUUGUUUUUGCUAACUGGUAUUGAGUCUUUAAGUCUUAGCUUUUCUGAUAGCCCAACCUACGUGCUUUAUAGUUUAUGGUGUGGAAUAUGCAUUUGGAGCUCAUGACUACCCAACAAGUGGUGUUUUCGAGGUUGAACCACGACAGUGCCCGGGAUUCAAGUUUAAGAAAUCAAUAUUCAUUGGAACCACAUCAUUGGACCCACACCAAGUAAGGGAUUUUGUGGAGCGCUACUCGGAAAGGUACAAUGGUGAUACGUAUCACUUGAUAGUCAAGAACUGCAACCAUUUCUGUGAUGAUAUUUGUCAGAAGCUGACGGGGAAACGCAUUCCUAGAUGGGUAAAUAGACUGGCAAGAAUAGGUACACAAUUACAUUCCUGACUUGCAAGAUACAUGAGGUGUUUAUUCUCAUGUUGCAUUUUGGUACGGAUCUCAAACAACCUGAAACUUGUGCUUUUGUGUGUCAGGUUCAAUGUGCAACUGCAUUCUUCCAGAAGGCCUUAAAACUUCAGUUGUUCGGCAUGAUCCAAAUUAUGAACCGCAAGAUAGUGAGAAGAAGAGAUUGAGAUCUCCCUUUAGUUGCCUAGCUUCAGUGUCGAAGCAGCAGAAGACUUCACAUAAAUCACCUUC